rnacentral:lncRNA from 1 species
GUAAGCAGAACAAAGUCUCUCCCGUUUAAAAUCCCAGCCCACCACAUCAACACUAAAUCCUCCGCCACCCACCACCACUACAACCACUGGCAUGCUGUUCCGCCUCCUCCCGCGCCGCCAGUCCCCGCCGGCACUGCCUCCUCGGCGUAGAAGGAUUGCGGUGGUUCGGCUGGGAAGCCGGCGGGGGUGGCGCAGCGGCCGGAGGUUCUUCGUGGGCUUCCUCCGGCGGGUGCGGUUGGGGUGUCUGGUGGCGCAGUACCGGAAGGCCUUGAAGCGGGUGAGGGCGCGCUACGCGGCGCUGAUGUGGGAUCUGAUCGAUGGGGCGGCUACGAUCGAAGCCGUCCAUUCCCGGACGCUCACGGAGUCCUACUUCCCGGCUAUCGUGGGGCCGAAGCCGAUCAUCGUCGCCAGCUGCCCUAACUACUAUAAAUUCUGAUAGAGAGAUUAUAAUUUGUCUUCCCGCGCGCGCGAAAGGAUGUUAGUAUAUGUAGUAAUAAAUGGGAAAUGAAAUUUAAUAGGAGAGCAAUAUCCAUUUCUCUCUUCUUCUUCUUCUUUUCUUUUUCUUUUGAUUUUAUGGGUAUUUUCAUGUAAAUAGAUUACGAUAUAUUAGAUAUAGAUGGAUCCGCUUGAUCUUUUACUUAAAUCUCUAAAUGGUGAGGAUUUUUUUUUUUUCGAUUGAAGAGCAUUUUAGUUUGCUGGUUCUGCUUCAGGAUUAUAAAUAGUUCUAGGAAUUACAUCCGCCUCAACUCAUCAUCAUGAUUUGCAAAGCAUGAUAUAGAGGGAUGCUAAUCAGUUGAGAUAACACUAAUUGUUAAACUCAUUAAGUUUUAUUGCAGAUUGUAUUGAAUAUUAUCUAAGAUUUGGAUCUAGUUAAUUUAACUCAUAGUACGACUUGACUUGUAUCAUAUUGGAGAUGAAAGGAGAUACAUGAACAUGUAUUGAUCUUAAUUAAGAAAAGUUUAUGGAACCAAAAGUUUAAAUACAUUAAAUCAAAUAAAAUAUGAGAAAUAUCACAAAUCUCUUCCCGGCUCUUCGUUUCCUAAUGUCUCUCACGAAUCCAAGGUAGAGAAAUUUUUUUGCAUGUUCAGUAUCUCUCUCUCUCAUGCAUGCACGCACACACAAAUACGCAUCAAACUCGCUAAUUUAUAACUUGCAUUAAUUAUCAUCUUUGUAGUUCAUAAUUUUUACCAGAAAAAAUAAGAAUUUUUAUAUGGCUUGCGCUCAGAAAUCUAAUACAUAUAUGAGAUAUUCUUGCUAAAAAAUGAUGGUAGGUUGAUGAUAGAUAUAUGCUAUGUGGAAAAAGAACCAAAACGAUCUUCCAUCUACUAAUUAGAUGCCUAUUUGUUCGUAGUUUAUGGACAACAGUUAAAGUGCAACUAAAUUUGAGAGGAUGGCUUACCAGCAUUAGUGAUUUGUGGACCAAAUGGAG